rnacentral:lncRNA from 1 species
AUGUGUUUUUUAAAUUUUUAUUACUGAAAAGGCCUGAGAACAGUCAUUGUUCCAAUGGCAGUAAACACAUCUCACACACAGAGUACUCUCUCCAAAUACUUUCCUACUGAGAUUAACCAAGAUGAUGGAAAAAUGACUCCAGAUUCCAAACCUAAAGCAAGAAAAAAAAAAUGUACAAAAGGAGGCUAUAACAAUUUUUCCUAUUAGAAACAAGGAAAACAUCAAGGUCUAUAUCAUGGACCAUGUUUUAACAAACAUCUAUUGUCCAGAGAUAAGAAAAUGUGUUAAUUAGGUUAAUAACUGCAACAGAUUAAAAAAGCACAUCGAACAAGUCUAAAUCCAGGAAUUCAUAAAGAUAAAAAAGCAACAAUAACAAAACAAAUAAAAUAUCUUUCAUCACAAAGGAAACAACUCAUUAUUUUGAAAAUUGCUUUAAAAAAAAGAAUUACCCUGCCAUUACCACAUGAAUUAUCAUAAGAAUAAUCAUAAUAAUCAAAUAAUAAUGAUAAUCAAAUAUUGAUAAGAAAGUUUUCUGUUUACGGAAAUAUUCCAUCAAAUAAACAAGAAAGAAUUGAUAAAAUAAAAAUAUUAAUAAUUUAAAUCCCUAAUUAAUUAAUAUAUUUAUGAUUACCAAUGGCUACUGAUAUCAUUAGCCUGAAAUACUUUUUGAGAGAAAAUCAGACCAUCCUAAUUAAAGCACCCUUCAACUCCUAUUAAGUUAUCCGUAAAAAUAAAAUUAAAUGUAAAUUUUAAAAAGUCUCUAGAUUUAAGCAUAAAUGUACAUAAAUACAAGGUGCAAAUGGUAACAGGCAUCAGAGAUUCCAGAUGAAUAUUUUUAUGCUUCAGCUAACAGAUUGCCCAAAUGCUUUCAAAAUUUUUGCAGAACAUAAAAACCAGAAGUUCCAAAAUUAUGUUUACAAAGCCAUCAUAAUCUGGAUAUGAAAAUAUGACCAAAAAGAGCACAAUGUCUAUAUAAUGUAGACAAAAUUCAUUAAUAAAUUGCAUUAUUGUACAUAGAUUAUAAAUGGUGUAAAUGUCCUAAAUAAUAUAUUAAUAAGAAAUCCCACAGAACAUUAAUUCAGAAAUAUAUAGCCAACAAAUGCCUUAUACCUUAUUUCUCGUAGUUGCCAAAAAGGCAUAGAUACUUCUGUAGCAGCUGGACAAACAAUAUUCAGUAAAAUUCAAUACCUAGUCCUGAUUUUAAAGUUCAAAUAAAGCUCUUAACUGAGUACAAUAAACUAAGCCAAAGCCAGCUUAAUGGUGAAACACUAAAACAUCCCCAACUAAAAUCAGAAAGUAAACAAGACUGGCCAUUUUCCUCACUAAUUUUAUCAUAAUUCUGCAGGUCUCAGCCAAUACAAGUAGGCAAGAGAAAUAAAUAUGAGGCAUAGAAUUGAAAAGGAUUCAAGAUUAUUGUCAUUUACCAAAGAUAAUAGAGCAUAUCUAGAAAGCCCAAGAGAGUUAGGGGAACGCAAUUAAGAACUAAAAAAGAGGAGUUCCCAACGUGGCGCAGUGGAAACGAAUCCGCCUAGGAACCAUGAGUUUGUUGGUUCAAUCCCUGGCUUCGGUCAAUGGGUUAAGAUCCAGCACUGCCAUGAGCUGUGGUGUAGGUCGCAGAUGCGGCUCGUAUCUGACGUUGCUGUGUCUGUGGCAUAGACCGGUGGCUACAGCUCCAAUUAGACCCCUAGCCUGGGAACCUCCAUAUACCACGGGUGUAGCCCUAAAAAGACACACACACACAAAAAAAAAAAAAGAACUAAAAAACACCCUAAUCAACCACUUAGAAAACAUAAUGAGAAAAGGACUGUUGCUAUAACUUAAUAGUAAUAAACAACAAAAAAUAAGUAUAAACAAUAAAAAAAUAAGUACUAACAAGGAAUAUGUUAAAGCACUAUGAGGAAAAAUUGUGAAUGCUAGUGAGAAUUAUUUUUUAAAAAGCUAUUUUAAUGACUGGAAAGACAUACUCUAUUUUUGAGGAAAAAUCAAUAUUAUACAGCUCUCAAGACUAUAAAUUCAUAAAUCUAUAUAAAUCUGUAAAGCUGUCAAUACCCUCUCUGUCCACUUGUAAAUGUAUAUUAAUGUGAUUUUGACAUUUUAGAAGAGAAGGAGAAUUAAUGGAAGCAAAAAGCUAAUUGAACAGUAUUUAUGAAAAGGCAAGAUAAAAGUAUACCCCAAAUAAUUCUAAAGAGGAGAUAAGGAUUAUAACAUAUGGUAAUUACAAGCUUAAUAUUGACACAUAAAUGGAAAACAUCAAUGAAAUGGAAAAUAGAGUUCAAAUAUUAUGUAAAGUUUAGUAAAAGAUAUAACAUUAGGUGAACCAGUUAGGAAAAGAUAGAUUGUUUGAUAACUGGUGUUUGGAUAAAUGGCUAACCUUCUGGGAUGUAAUGGAAGAUGGACCCCUACUUUACGUUUUCUCUCAAAAUUAUUUUUAUCUGAAUCAAAGAUAAAGAUGUAAAAUACUAGAGUAAAUAUGAGAGCAUAUUUUAAAAUAUCAUCCUAAUUUACCUAUAAAUUAAGUCCAAGACUAAUUAAAAACUCAAUGAGGUUUUCCUUGGAAGCUGAAUCCUAACAUUCUUAAAAAAUAGAAAAUGCCUAAGGAUGACAUGAAACCUUUAAAUGAAGAAAAAAGGUGAACCAACUUGCCCUGCCAAGUGGUAAAUUCCUGUCCUCUGGUUACAUUUCCCCUUUUUCACAAAUAAAAGUUCAUCUUGUGCAUUAAGUACAGUGUUGAUUCCCUCUGACCUUCAUUGAACCUUUUGUAAAAUAAACCCAGCCACAAAUUUCCCAUCAUAAUUCACAGCUGGGGUUUUUUCAGUGAUAUGUGAGACAUGGAAUAUAUAGCCCCUUUGAAAGUACGUUUUCUGUGUCUGCUAUAGAUUUAAGAGUAAUUGAAGGGUAACAAUUUACUAUCACUAGGAAACAUGUACUAAUUAGAUCUUAGCUUCUUGGUAUCUCAGGCAAGGUCUGAGCACGUGUACUAUUGAAUUUCAUUGAUAAGAAGUGAUAAAUUCACCGAUUGCUAAACCAGGGUCUUCCUUCCAUAAACAUGUUAAAAAGAGAGGCUGUGCCUGGUAGUGUCUAUUUCCCACAGUGCUUUGUUGACAAAUAAGAUAAAGUUUGACACUAACCAGAAGUGAAAUAUGCCUCCCAGGAUGGAAGUGAUGCGUUUGACCCUCUCUGGGUGAUGCGGAUUACAAAAGGCCCCUUCAGGAUAUUUUACCUCAAAAUGAAUUUUUGUUGUUGUUAAAGAGAGUGAGAACACAUUGAACAGAUUGAUGAGCCUUGCCUGUCAGGCUAGGAAACUAGCUGUUUGAUGUAAUCUCCAGGAGAUGCCUCAGGUAUUGAAUUAAUUCAACUGCAAGAGGCAGUCACAUUGGACCACUAAGUUUAAUUCCUCUUACCAACCCAUCCAAGUUGCCUUAGCAACCAAAGGGAGCUCUGUGAUUGGCUGAAUGGUAGGAGACCUCAUUCAUGCACUCCAUUACAUAUUCAUUGAGCACCUAAGUCAGAUAUCACUGUAAGUGAUGGGGACCCAGAAAUAAACCAACCAUGAAAAAACCACUACCUUCCAGGAGCUUACAUCCUAAUAUGAUAUACAUUGUUACAUGAAUCAUAUAUGUAGUUAAUACUAGCAGGAUUCAAACUGCAAAGUAAGGUUAGAUCUCGCAGAAAACUUGUAGAAACAGAACAAGCAUAGGGAACCAGAGCAGGUAAUUACUAUGCAACCUCUGCUUUGGGGAACCUUCUUUCUUUACUUAUUGGGUAUAUAAGGUUAUUGUGGCCCUAAGUACAGAUACUGUGAUCCUGAUUAAGUUACUAGUACAAAGCAAAAGAUUCCAAAUAGGACACUAGUCUAGAUGCUGUGGAGCCCUGAUUCCGUGUCUGUUCCCCAUCACUAUUUCACCCCAUGCUGGUGACACUUAACAAUCUACUACUAGGAAAUUAUGGCUUUAGGUUUCACCUAUCCUAAACCCAAGACUUUGAUCAAAUUUUAACUUCCAAAUACUAACCUAUCCGUUUCUUAUGAUGCUAUUUCAUCCUACCAGUAGCGCCCUGUUAAUUUUAUAAAUUUGAAAUCCUCACACUUGGAUAAGGAAGCUGAAAUUCCAGAAGGUUAGGUCAGUAGCACAAGGUCACGCUGCAAGAAGGAGCUCAAACCAGGUCUUCCUGCUUCAAAUUGUGUGUUGGACUCUGACCCUGCUGUCAGAUGCACGCUCUACAGAAAGCUCUCAGAUGCUGUGGGGAAGCAAAGAUUCAAUGCCCUUGCCCUGGCCCACUGGUUGUUUAAAAUCUAUGAAACAAAAAGGAAGGAAGAAAAAGAGGGAAGGGAAGGGAAAGGAGGGAAGGGAGGGAGGAAGGAAGGCAGGGAGAGAAAGAGGGAGGGAGGGAGAUACAGAAGGAGGGAGGGAGGGAGAAAGGAAGGAAGAAAGGGGAAAGCACCUAAAUCUACAAAGUUCACAUUAGAAAAUAGGGCAUGAUGAGCAUAUGCUAUGUCCCAAGUAAUUGUUCCAGACCACAGGAACUGCUUAGUGUAACUCACAGGCUCCUCCAGCCAUGGAAAAUUCUAGCUGGACACAGAAUAUAUCCAGCCAUUUUUGUCAGAGUUGUCACAAACAUAACCCCACCAAAAGGCAGAAACUCUGGUCUCCUUCCUUUACCCAGAGCCUGUGUUCUUCCAGAGAAACCCCAUGGCCUCUUUUUGGCCUCUGUAGACACAACUUAUUGAAGACAUUGGGCAGAGUCUGCAUCCCCCAGGAAGCUGGGCUGCCGGGCCCAAAGUGCUGGGGCAGGCUUCUUCCCCAGCCCAGGCUCACCCCUGUCACAGUCCAAAGCCCCAGUGCCAGGCACAGCCCCUUGUGCGUGAGGACACAGGUAAAUAAAUGUAUGCAGAGGCAACAAGGCCCAUAAACCACCAGAGAGGUUGAGCAGCCUCUGAGCUCAGUGAGAGAAUUUCCACCCUGCUCUUCCUUGCUGGAGAAUAGGAAUUAAUUUCAUUUUGACCAUCUCAAGAGAAGUUUUGUGUUAUCCCCUUCCAUCUCCCAAGAUGUCACAAAAAUCCUGGGGGAGAACAAUUUCUUAUGCAGAGGAAAUAAUUCAUAGAAUUCUUCUUUCACAUUCCUAUGAAAUCCUUAGGGCCUCAGGGGCAAAGCUAACAAUUUGAAUUUUGUUCUUCAAGGUCUGUUUUGGUCAUGGAAUUACAAAACGUCAAGUCCAAAUAUUCUCAGUAAUAUUUAAUCCCUAAAGCAUCUGUGCUUCAGAUGGAACAGCUAACGAAUUGUGGAAGAACCACCCUGGGGCUGGUAGGAGACUGCGCAGUUUGAAAUCUAGGAUAAGUUGAUAUUCCUGAGACACCAGGUGCAGUCUCACAUCACACCCGACUUUCUUCCUCAUCGUCUCUGGGACACACAGACCUACCAUUGUCCAGUUGAGUCGUGGCCAUGCCCCGCCCCAUCCCAGCCCAUGGUGCUCUAUCAGCAGCUCAUACCAACAACUCCUUUCUAGGGCCUGUCUCCUCAGUCAUAGUAGCCUCUUGUCGCCUCGUGAUUUCCCUUCUGGUCCUUAAAACAGUCUUGAUGGUGGAAAAAGGGAAAAGUCCCGAGGGAACCCAAUGUUGCUUCUGUUUCUUAACCCCAUCACCCUCCUGCAGAGCAGAGUUGCGAAGCUAGCACUGUCCUCGAGUCUGGUCCCUCACCUUGCCAGGUUUAGCACAACUUCUUUCCAUGCCCCCACCCCCAACCAGAUUCAGUGAAGCGGUCAGGCCAGGGCAAGCCCCACACCACUCUCAUGUCCCCAGCUCAGCACUCCCCUGUCACAUAGAAGUGAACAUGCCUUCUUCCCUAUCAUCCUGACCUUUGUCUCCUAACCUGAGAACACUUGUUUCUUUAUGGGGUGGUCUGCUUUGGACAAGCGCCUCUGGGCAAUGUGGCUUUGCAGAGGACAGUCAUGGGGGAAAGCAUGAUGAGCUGAUGCAUGUCCCCAGUGAUUGCCCUGCCUUGUUCCCUUGUGUGGCCAUGACAGCUGCCAUCACCCCAGAGGUGUGACAGGAGAUUUCCAGGACAAUCUUGCCAGAAGGAGAAGAGGGACCCUAAGUUUGUCCUUGCUCGGCCCUCAACCCCACUGUCAGUGGUGACCCCACUAGACCCUGAGCUUGUGUAGGGGCCACUGCACACCCAGCAUCUAACCCAAGCAGUCAGGCCAGGGGGUUUUAAUGAUUCAAUUAAUGGAAAACCUGCCUCUCUUGGCCUGCUUUCCUAGGUAAGGUUCCCAUUAACCAUAAAGAAAUGAGCUCAUUGGUACCCAUGAGAAUAGUAUGGGAACUUGGGAAGAUGUCAUCCUCUUAAUAUGAGUUAAGGGGUAUUCCUAAUAUAAGACAAGUGGACCAGAAUAUGUCGCAGGCCAAAAAAAAAAAAAAUCUGACCAUACAAGUAGGUAUGAAUACGUCAAGUCAUUAAUAUCCACUUCCAGGCAGCAAAUUGCUUGUCAUGCUUCAUUUAUACUCACUUAGGACUAUGAACUAGAGCAUUUAUGGAGACACACUAUAAAUAUUCUUUCCACAGCUCUGUGGAAGCUUUCAUCCCUGCUCACAAAGUGUCUGACGAGGUGCAUAUCCCAGGAGACUCCAGGGCAGAAGUGGCGGAGGAGGGACACCUGGGGGGAGGGGAAGAGGGGCGGGAGAGAAGGAUUGUCAACCAAGCAGGAGCUAUAAAUAAUCACAAGCUUGCAGCAGGCCUGAAUUUAUGCACUUAGACAAUUCUCUUAAACUAAAUGAAAGUUAAUCUGUUGUAAAUCUGACCACUUCUCGGUGAUUCGGCAGAAAUUCAUUUACAGUAACUGAGAACAAGAGGAAGCAUGACAGACACACUGACCUGGUUGUAGCGAUGGUCUCCAUGGAAAGGGGGGGGCCUCCUGCCUUUGGAAGCAUGUGCACCAUGGAGGCACCUGUCCCAUGCACUCUGACCACAAGGUGGACAGAGCAAGGAGCCCACCCUGCCAGCCCCUUGGUGCAUGCAUUUUCUGUGUCUUCUUUAUUUGCUGCCCAAGCCCCCAAAUUCCCCUGGGACGAAGCCAGCACCUCGCCUCUGGCUGAGCCAUGACUACCCUGCUGUCGUGUGUUUCUGCAUCCUGGUCGCCCUUGGGGGUGAUGUGCCCUGUGGCUGUUCCUGACCCUUGUCACUCCCAGACCAUCUCUGUCUGAAUCUGGACCUCUGGGCCAGCCACUCACAUAAGUCCUUCAGAUUGACAUGAACCUUGUCCAACCCUGUGUGACCAGCAAGUAGGUAAUGUGUAACCAAUAUAGGCUCAACAUGUAAAUAUUUUAUUUAUUUUUUCUAAGCACUGCUCUCAACCAUCAAUCGCCCUUCCUGUCUUUUGAUGACUCUUGUGCAGACUUUGCAGAUCUCUGUUACUUUUGGUUAGUGUAUGUAACACAGCUGAAAGCUUUCAUCUUCAACCAAGUGACACAUUUUCCAGUCCCUUGAGCUCCCAUCUGGCUCCAGAAAUAUAGAAUGUGGUACAGGCAUGGUCGGCAUUUGUGGUCUCUCUUCCUCUCGCCCGGAGGCUGAGAGCUGUGCAGUGUCCCUUUGUGUCACUGCUGGGCAUGAGGACAAGCCAGGUCUGUCUCGGGCUCAUCCAGCUCCAUCCCCUGAAGGCCAGUGCCGCACAGAAAUCACGUAGGAUGGCACGCAUGAGCCUCCUGGGUCUGUGCUCAUUUAUACCUGGCUCUUUCCAUGGCUGACCAGUGGUCCAGUUCCUCAACAUCCGUGGACUUUGGACUUCUGCCUAGAAGGCCCAGGGACCCCACUUUCCUUUCUCCACACUCUGUCACAUGUGGCUGAGGCUGAGAGCCCCUCCUAACCCCUGGCACAUCCAUUUCAAGCUCACUGGCCUGUUUCCGUUCCUCUGUACCUGUGCCUCUCAUCUUUCAGAAGCUGCUCUUCCUGAGACAGUCUCUGAAGUCUGUCUUGUGGGAGCCUCUGAGUACUUCCAUACUGCCAAGAAACCUCUAGAAGGACUACUGGUCCACCCCUGAACCACCAUAUAACUGAUUCUAGGCUUUCCUGUACCUCUGUGGUUGGGACACCUGUCCCAAAUAUGGAACGGACCUGAGAAGUCUUGGAAAGGGAUGCUGCUAUGCUGGCUUGGCCACUUCCUGAAAUUAAUUACAUGAAGAAGUUUAUUAAGAUUUUCACUGCAACUGGAGAAUGUGCAUGGGGGCACCACUGAGACUUAAACCGGCUAAGACACUAACCCAGGUGAUACACUGGUAAGAGGAAGGUCCAGACCAUGGGCUCAGGUGUGUCCCUGAUCCCAGAGUCCUGGUCUGCUAGGUCCCUGUGCAGUGGGAGUCCACCAGCCCGGCAAGACCUGUCUUUCCCAAAUAACUUGUGGAUAGACAGGCAGCUCACACAAUGCACAUGAAAACAUAUUUUUUUUCCUAUGGUAAGUAUUUCAGUUGCAGGUAUGGAGUCCAAAUUUUUUUUUCCCACUGUACAGCAAGGGGGUCAGGUUAUCCUUACAUGUAUACAUUGCAAUUACAGUUUUUCCCCCAUCCUUUCUUCUGUU